UACAGAGGGUGCGAGCGUUAAUCGGAAUUACUGGGCGUAAAGCGUGCGUAGACGGUUAUUUAAGUCGGAUGUGAAAGCCCCGGGCUCAACCUGGGAAUUGCAUUCGAGACUGAAUAGCUAGGGUGCGGUAGAGGGAAGCGGAAUUUCCGGUGUAGCGGUGAAAUGCGCAGAUAUCGGGAAGAACACCCGUGGCGAAGGCGGCUCUCUGGGACGGUACUGACGCUGAGACGCGAAAGCGUGGGGAGCGAACAGG
rnacentral:rRNA from 1 species